UACGUAGGGACCAAGCGUUGUUCGGAUUUACUGGGCGUAAAGGGCGCGUAGGCGGCGUGUUAAGUCACUUGUGAAAUCUCUGAGCUUAACUCAGAACGGUCAAGUGAUACUGAUGUGCUAGAGUGCAGAAGGGGCAACCGGAAUUCUUGGUGUAGCGGUGAAAUGCGUAGAUAUCUGGAGGAACACCGGUGGCGAAGGCGGCAUCCUGGACCAAUUCUGACGCUGAGGAGCGAAAGCCAGGGGAGCAAACGGG
rnacentral:rRNA from 1 species